UACGGGGGGGGCAAGCGUUGUUCGGAAUUACUGGGCGUAAAGGGCUCGUAGGUGGCCAACUAAGUCAGACGUGAAAUCCCUCGGCUUAACCGGGGAACUGCGUCUGAUACUGGAUGGCUUGAGUUUGGGAGAGGGACGCGGAAUUCCAGGUGUAGCGGUGAAAUUCGUAGAUAUCAAGCAGAACACCUGCGGCGAAGGCGGCCUUCUGGACGAUGACUGACGCUGAGACGCGAAAGCGUGGGGAGCAAACAGG
rnacentral:rRNA from 1 species